CCUACGGGAGGCAGCAGUGAGGAAUAUUGGUCAAUGGGCGCGAGCCUGACCCAGCCAAGUAGCGUGAAGGAUGACUGCCCUACGGGUUGUAAACUUCUUUUAUAAAGGAAUAAAGUGAGGCACGUGAGCCUUUUUGUAUUUACUUUAUGAAUAAGGAUCGGCUAACUCCGUGCCAGCCGCCGCGGUAAUACGGAGGAUCCGAGCGUUAUCCGGAUUUAUUGGGUUUAAAGUGAGCGUAGAUGGGUUGUUAAGUCAGUUGUGAAAGUUUGCGGCUCAACCGUAAAAGUGCAAUUGAUACUGGCAGUCUUGAGUACAGUUGAGGUAGGCGGAAUUCGUGGUGUAGCGGUGAAAUGCGUAGAUAUCACGAAGAACUCCGAUUGCGAAGGCAGCUUACUAAACUGCCACUGACAUUGAUGCUCGAAAGUGUGGGUAGCAAACAGGAUUAGAUACCCUUGUAGUC
rnacentral:rRNA from 1 species